GGGGCCGAGAAAAGCGACAUCACUGACUGCACCCGGAGAAGACCUGGUUCGACGCUCGAGGACGCGGGUUCGAUUCCCGCCAGCUCCACCA
rnacentral:tRNA from 1 species